rnacentral:rRNA from 1 species
GUAUUUUGACUGUGCUAAGGUAGCAUAGUCAUUUGCUUUUUUAUUGAAAGCUUGUAUGAAUGGAGUUAUAGAGAAGAUUUAUUAAAUGUAUUUUUUUAAAAAUUUGAAUUGGGAGUGAAAAUUCUUUUAUUUUCUUAAAAGACGAGAAGACCCUAGAAUCUUUAUUUUGAAUAUAAAAUGAGCAAUUUUUUCUUGGGGGAAGAGUUUAUAGGUAUAAUUUGAUUUGUUAAGAGAACUUUGUUAGGAUAGAUGGAUAGAUACUUUAGGGAUAACAGGAUGAUGAUAGUUAAAAGUUCUUAUUUUAGCUUUAGCUUAUUACCUCGAUGUUGGCUUUUG